CCUAGUGAUGUCGAGAAAGCUCAGCAAUGUCCUUGUUUUUGUGACCCAUCGCCAUGGAUCCCCCUUUGCCCUCCUUCUUUCUCCUCUUGCCGUUAGAGCUCGAGGAGCUCAUCCUCUUCUCUCCCAGCCUCAUAGAUGAAGGCCUUCUUGUUUUCUCUGCAGAACUCCACGGUGUCAACCUUGUUUGACAUUUAGGAGUAAUUGAUUUGAGGCUUCGAUUCCGCAUCUUUAAUCGGAGGAAAUGGAGACCAGCAUCAGAGUUUCUUCGAUAUUCAGGUGUUGCUUCCUUAAUUGCCAAUUGAAGAAGUCAUCAUCUUUAUAAUGGAUCAUCUAGCUAUGAACUCACAUACAAAGAAUUACCAAUCCUUCUGGAGAGGUCAUUACCAAAAUGCAGAAUUUUUUAUAAGCUGGACUAUGCUCCAUGUCCACAAUUAGACCUUACCUUUGGCCACCAAUAUCAGUAAUCCAAAUGAGGUAUGCUUCCCUCUUUGUUUAAUUAUCUAUCUACGUUAUUUUCUUCUGUUGACAAAUCUGCAUAUAUAAGCCAAAGGGCUAAGCUUCAGGAAGUAGUUUUUGGGAUCCACAUUUAAUUUCCAAUUUUAUCACUUAGUUCUUAAAGAAGUUACAGCAGUGCCAUUGCCUAGUCUCUCAUGCACUUUUAUUUUAACACCUGUACAUUAGUUUAAAUUACAAAUAAGACCAUCAUCUAGAAUAAAUAUAUGAUUUUGAUAAACCCUUUUAUAUUGAUAAACUUUAACUAAGCAACCUUGUCUCUAGAAGUAUAUCUUCAACUCAAUUUUUCAUGUUAUUCUUUGGAUUUCAUGGAAUUACAAAAUAAGAAUUUUAAUUUGAUUUUUUCUCUUGAAAUACCUACAAUUUAUUAUUUUACAUGGGCACCAUUUUGGGUUUGAUUGAGAAGUCCUUUAGUUUUUUGUAACAAUAAUUAGUUUCUUUCACAUAUAUUUAUCCAUAUAAACUCCUAAAAUUGUAUGAUACCUUCUAUCAAUAAAUUUAAUUUUGAGAUUGUCAUACACACACACUUAUGUAUGUAUAUAUACAAACUCUUGAAAUUCUACUUGUUCUUUUCAUUCACUCUUAAACCCUUGAAAUUUUUUA